GCAAUACUACGUCCCCUUGAGGGGCAAAGUAAACGAUGAUCCGGGAGGAACUCUCGGGUAAAAUAUGUAUCAAACUGAAAAUUCACUCGUCUUGGGUAGCAAACUAUCUGAGGCGGGGUUGUUU
rfam:Bacteria symbiont BFo2 of Frankliniella occidentalis strain BFo2 contig320, whole genome shotgun sequence.